rnacentral:rRNA from 1 species
AUUGAACGCUGGCGGCAGGCCUAACACAUGCAAGUCGAACGAGUGGCGGACGGGUGAGUAAUGUCUGGGAAACUGCCUGAUGGAGGGGGAUAACUACUGGAAACGGUAGCUAAUACCGCAUACCAUCAGAUGUGCCCAGAUGGGAUUAGCUUGUUGGUUGGGUAACGGCUCACCAAGGCGACGAUCCCUAGCUGGUCUGAGAGGAUGACCAGCCACACGGGAACUGAGAAACGGUCAAGACUCCUACGGGAGGCAGAAGUGGGGAAUAUUGCACAAGGGGCGCAAGCCUGAUGCAGCAAUGCCGCGUGUAUGAAGAAGGCCUUAGGGUUGUAAAGUACUUUCAGCGGGGAGGCGGUACACGAAGAAGAAGCACCGGCUAACUCCGUGCCAGCAGCCGCGGUAAUAG